GUCUGUGUAGAUUAAGUUAGAUUAUAAGGCUGUUAACCUUAAGGUAUUAUUUUUUUUGCGGACG
rnacentral:tRNA from 1 species